UACAGAGGGUGCGAGCGUUAAUCGGAAUUACUGGGCGUAAAGCGCGCGUAGGCGGCUUUGCAAGUCGGGUGUGAAAUCCCCAGGCUUAACCUGGGAACUGCAUUCGAGACUGCAUUGCUAGAGUAUGGGAGAGGGAAGUGGAAUUUCCGGUGUAGCGGUGAAAUGCGUAGAUAUCGGAAGGAACAUCAGUGGCGAAAGCGACUUCCUGGACCGGGAUUGACGCUGAGGCGCGAAAGCCAGGGGAGCAAACGGG
rnacentral:rRNA from 1 species